UACGUAGGGGGCUAGCGUUGUCCGGAAUCAUUGGGCGUAAAGAGCUCGUAGGUGGUUUGUCGCGUUGUUCGUGAAAACCGGGGGCUUAACCCUCGGCGUGCGGGCGAUACGGGCAGACUUGAGUACUGCAGGGGAGACUGGAAUUCCUGGUGUAGCGGUGGAAUGCGCAGAUAUCAGGAGGAACACCGGUGGCGAAGGCGGGUCUCUGGGCAGUAACUGACGCUGAGGAGCGAAAGCGUGGGGAGCGAACAGG
rnacentral:rRNA from 1 species